rnacentral:rRNA from 1 species
GAUGAACGCUAGCUACAGGCUUAACACACGCAAGUCGAGGGGAAACGGCAUUGGGUGCUUGCACCGAAUGGACGUCGACCGGCGCACGGGUGAGUAACGCGUAUCCAACCUUCCCGUUACUGCGGGAUAACCUGCCGAAAGGCAGACUAAUACCGCAUGUUCUUCGAUGACGGCAUCAGAUUCGAAGCAAAGAUCCGUCGGUAACGGAGGGGGAUGCGUCUGAUUAGCUAGUUGGCGGGGCGACGGCCCACCAAGGCGACGAUCAGUAGGGGUUCUGAGAGGAAGGUCCCCCACAUUGGAACUGAGACACGGUCCAAACUCCUACGGGAGGCAGCAGUGAGGAAUAUUGGUCAAUGGGCGGAAGCCUGAACCAGCCAAGUAGCGUGCAGGAUGACGGCCCUACGGGUUGUAAACUGCUUUUAUGCGGGGAUAAAGUGAGGGACGCGUCCCUUUUUGCAGGUACCGCAUGAAUAAGGACCGGCUAAUUCCGUGCCAGCAGCCGCGGUAAUACGGAAGGUCCGGGCGUUAUCCGGAUUUAUUGGGUUUAAAGGGAGCGUAGGCCGGGGAUUAAGUGUGUUGUGAAAUGUAGGCGCCCAACGUCUGACUUGCAGCGCAUACUGGUUCCCUUGAGUACGCGCAACGCCGGCGGAAUUCGUCGUGUAGCGGUGUAAUGCUUAGAUAUGACGAAGAACCCCGAUUGCGAAGGCAGCCGGCGGGAGCGCAACUGACGCUGAAGCUCGAAGGUGCGGGUAUCGAACAGG